AUUGAACGCUGGCGGAAUGCUUUACACAUGCAAGUCGAACGGUAGAGGGGGCAACCCCUCGAGAGUGGCGAACGGGUGAGUAAUAUAUCGGAACGUGCCCAGUCGUGGGGGAUAACGUAGCGAAAGUUACGCUAAUACCGCAUACGAUCUAAGGAGGAAAGCGGGGGAUCGCAAGACCUCGCGCGAUUGGAGCGGCCGAUAACAGAUUAGGUAGUUGGUGGGGUAAAGGCUCACCAAGCCAACGACCUGUAGCUGGUCUGAGAGGACGACCAGCCACACUCGAACGGAAACACGGUCCAGAGGCCUACCGUAGGCAGCAGUGGGGAAUUUUGGAUAAUGGACGCUAGUCUGUUCCAGCCAUUCCGCGUGCAGGAUGAAGGCCCUCGGGUUGUGAACUGCUUUUGUACGGAACGAAAAGGUCUCUCUUAAUACGGGGGACUCAUGACGGUACCGUAAGAAUAAGCACCGGCUAACUACGUGCCGGCAGCCGCCGCCG
rnacentral:rRNA from 1 species